GACAGAGGGUGCGAACGUUGCUCGGAAUUACUGGGCGUAAAGCGCGUGUAGGCGGGUGAUCAAGUCAGGUGUGAAAUCCCCAGGCUCAACCUGGGAACUGCACUUGAAACUGGUCGCCUUGAGUGUUGGAGAGGGAAGUGGAAUUCCUGGUGUAGCGGUGAAAUGCGCAGAUAUCAGGAGGAACACCGGUGGCGAAGGCGGGUCUCUGGGCCGAUAUUGACGCUGAGGAGCGAAAGCGUGGGGAGCGAACAGG
rnacentral:rRNA from 1 species